GCGGUUAUACGAGAGACCCAAGCUGACAGAAACCGGCGUAAAGAGUGGUUAGAAAAACAAGACACUAAAGCUGAACACUUUUUUAGCCGUUUAACGCUUAUGAAAACCAGAAACCCUAUUACGAAAGUAGCUUUAACCCCUUGAAUCCACGAAAGCUAUGAAACAAACUGGGAUUAGAUACCCCACUAUGCUUAGCCGUAAACAAUGAUAACUAAUUACACCCACCAUCCGCCCGGGUACUACGAGCAUAAGCUUAAAACCCAAAAGACCUGGCGGUGCUUUAAAACCCCCUAGAGGAGCCUGUUCUAUAACUGAUAACCCCCGUUCAACCUCACCCUCUCUUGCCAUUUACCGUUUAUAUACCGCCGUCGUCAGCCCACCCUGUGAAGGACUUAUAAUGAGCAUAACUGAUAUAACCUCAUACGUCAGGUCGAGGUGUAACAUAUGAGAGGGGAAGAAAUGGGCUACAUUCGUUUAUUAACGAACCACGAAAUGCAUGCUGAAAUCACAUGUUCGAAGGAGGAUUUAGCAGUAAGGAGAGGAUAGAGUACCCUCCUGAAACCGGCUCUAAAGCACGCACACACCGCCCGUCACUCUCCCCUUUUCAAUACUACUGAUAAAUAAGAAAUACCCGAAAAUUUAGGGGAGACAAGUCGUAA
rnacentral:rRNA from 1 species